rnacentral:rRNA from 1 species
AGAGAGAGACAUGCGCGCAUAUCAAUAAGCGGAGGAAAAGAAACUAACAAGGAUUCCCCUAGUAACGGCGAGUGAAGCGGGAAGAGCUCAAAUUUGAAAUCUUAAAGGGUUUCCCUUUACGAAUUGUAGUUUAAAGAAGUGUUUUCUGUUGAGGUUUUGGUAAAAGUUCUUUGGAAUAGGACAUCAUAGAGGGUGAGAAUCCCGUAUUUGACCUUUACUUUCAACUUUGUGAUACACUUUCAAAGAGUCGGAUUGUUUGGGAAUGCAGUCCAAAAUGGGUGGUAAAUUUCAUCUAAAGCUAAGUAUUGGCGAGAGACCGAUAGCGAACAAGUACCGUGAGGGAAAGAUGAAAAGAACUUUGAAAAGAGAGUUAAACAGUACGUGAAAUUGUCAAAAGGGAAGCGUUUGACACCAGUGUUGUUUUUCUGAAAAUCAAUUAAAGAACUGUUUAUGCUAAGCUGUUUAGACUUUAUCAGCUAAUCUGUUUAGUUUUGAGCUUUUCUUUAAUGCACUUUUCAGUUAACAAGUCAACAUCAAUUUCUUUUGCUGUAAAAAAGCUUGAGGAAGGUGGCUUGAGAUUCGUCUUAAGUGUUUAUAGCCUCUUGCCUAUGCAGUCGGAGAGAUUGAGGUCUGCAGCGUAGAUCCUUCGGGGCUAAAUGCAUUUGUGCUAAGUUAUAGCAUUUUAUAGACGAACUUGUUGACUAUGAUUUGUCUUGUAGCUUACUCGCUUAUGUUAUUUUACCUACGCUUAGGAUGUUGACGCAUGAGAUAUACGC